rnacentral:misc_RNA from 1 species
GACAUUUUUGAAUUUGACCUAAUUUUGUUGAGAUUGAUGAUAAUAAAAGUGACAUGUAUGCUUAUUUGGAGUUUGGAGAAGGAGGAGAUUGAAUUUUGGGAGUGUCAAAUUUUCUGUAGGUUGGGACUUAAUGAGUCCAGUGUGUUUAUUGAAUCCUAACUAACAAUGUGUGACUCUAAUUGGUAUGAGGCCAAUUAGAGGUGUUUUGGGACAUCCAAACCUUCAUUUUUCAAGAAAAAACCCUGCCCAAAUUCUAUCAAAAUC